rnacentral:rRNA from 1 species
GAUGAACGCUGGCGGCGUGCCUAAUACAUGCAAGUCGAGCGAACAGACGAGGAGCUUGCUCCUCUGACGUUAGCGGCGGACGGGUGAGUAACACGUGGAUAACCUACCUAUAAGACUGGGAUAACUUCGGGAAACCGGAGCUAAUACCGGAUAAUAUAUUGAACCGCAUGGUGCAAUAGUGAAAGACGGUUUUGCUGUCACUUAUAGAUGGAUCCGCGCCGCAUUAGCUAGUUGGUAAGGUAACGGCUUACCAAGGCAACGAUGCGUAGCCGACCUGAGAGGGUGAUCGGCCACCCUGGAACUGAGACACGGUCAAGACUCCUACGGGAGGCAGCAGUAGGGAAUCUUCCGCAAUGGGCGAAAGCCUGACGGAGCAACGCCGCGUGAGUGAUGAAGGUCUCCGGAUCGUAAAACUCUGUUAUGAGGGAAGAACAAAUGUGUAAGUAACUAUGCACGUCUUGACGGUACCUAAUCAGAAAGCAACGGCUAACUACGUG